AACGAACGCUGGCGGCAGGCUUAACACAUGCAAGUCGAACGCGUGUAGCAAUACACGAGUGGCGCACGGGUGAGUAACGCGUGGAUAUCUGCCUUUUGGUUCGGGAUAACUCCGGGAAACUGGAGCUAAUACCGGAUGGUUCCUUCGGGAUAAAGAUCUAUCGCCAAAAGAUGAGUCCGCGUACGAUUAGCUAGUUGGUGAGGUAAUGGCUCACCAAGGCGACGAUCGUUAGCUGGUCUGAGAGGACGAUCAGCCACACUGGGACUGAGACACGGCCCAGACUCCUACGGGAGGCAGCAGUGGGGAAUAUUGGACAAUGGGGGCAACCCUGAUCCAGCCAUGCCGCGUGAGUGAUGAAGGCCUUCGGGUUGUAAAGCUCUUUUGGCGGGGACGAUGAUGACGGUACCCGCAGAAUAAGCCCCGGCUAACUUCGUGCCAGCCGCCGCAGUAAGAC
rnacentral:rRNA from 1 species